AACGAACGCUGGCGGCAUGCCUAACACAUGCAAGUCGAACGAGACCUCCGGGUCUUGUGGCGCUCGGGUGCGUAACGCGUGGGAACCUGCCCUUAGGUUCGGUAUACCUCCCCGAAAGGUGUCCUCAUACCGGUUAAUCUCAUCGCACCUAAGAUUUAUUGCCUUGGGGUGGGCCCGCGUUAGAUUCGGUGGUUGGUAGGGUACAAGCCUGGCAAGGGGUCGAUCCAGAGCUGGUCGGUGAGGAUGAUCAGCCGCAAUGGGACUGAGACACGGCCCAGACUGGUACGGAAGGGAGGAGUGGGGUAUAUUGGAGGAGGAGCGAUGACCUAGUACAGCAACGCGGGGGGAGUGAUGAAGGCGUUAGGAUUGUAAAGCUCUUUUAGCCGGGAUGAUAAUGACAGUACCGGGAGAAUAAGCACCGGCUAACUACGUG
rnacentral:rRNA from 1 species